rnacentral:rRNA from 1 species
ACUCCUACGGGAGGCAGCAGCAAGGAAUUUUCCGCAAUGGGCGCAAGCCUGACGGAGCAACGCCGCGUGCGGGAUGACGGCCUUCGGGUUGUAAACCGCUUUUGGGGGGGAGGAAACCGACCGUACCCUCCGAAUCAGGCUCGGCUAACUCUGUGCCAGCAGCCGCGGUAAU